UACGAAGGGGGCUAGCGUUGCUCGGAAUCACUGGGCGUAAAGGGCGCGUAGGCGGCCAUUCAAGUCAGGGGUGAAAGCCUGUGGCUCAACCACAGAAUUGCCUUUGAUACUGUUUGGCUAGAGACCGGAAGAGGUAAGUGGAACUGCGAGUGUAGAGGUGAAAUUCGUAGAUAUUCGCAAGAACACCAAGUGGCGAAGGC
rnacentral:rRNA from 1 species